AUUGAACGCUGGCGGCAGGCCUAACACAUGCAAGUCGAGCGGAGCGGCGGACGGGUGCGUGUUGCCUAGGUAUCGGCCUGGGCGUGGGGGAUAACGUCCGGAAACGGGCGCUCAUACCACAUCCUAUCAGCUUCGCCUAGGUCGGAUUAGCUAGUUGGUGGGGUAAAGGCCUACCAAGGCGACGAUCCGUAACUGGUCUGAGAGGAUGAUCAGUCACACUGGAACUGAGACACGUGCCAGACUCCUACGGGAGGCAGCAGUGGGGAAUAUUGGACAAUGGGCGAAAGCCUGAUCCAGCCAUGCCGCGUGUGUGAAGAAGGUCUUCGGAUUGUAAAGCACUUUAAGUUGGGAGGCGUUACCAACAGAAGAAGCACCGGCUAACUUCGUGCCAGCAGCCGCGGUAAUAC
rnacentral:rRNA from 1 species